AACGAACGCUGGCGGCAUGCCUAACACAUGCAAGUCGAACGAGACCUUCGGGUCUAGUGGCGCACGGGUGCGUAACGCGUGGGAACCUGCCCUUAGGUUCGGAAUAACUCCCCGAAAGGGGUGCUAAUACCGGAUAAUGUCUUCGGACCAAAGAUUUAGCGCCUUUGGAUGGGCCCGCGUUGUAUUAGCUUGUUGGUAGGGUAAAAGCCUACCAAGGCGACGAUCCAUAGCUGGUCUGAGAGGAUGAUCAGCCACACUGGGACUGAGACACGGCCCAGACUCCUAGGGGAGGGAGGCGUGGGGAAUAUUGGACAAUGGGCGAAAGCCUGAUCCAGCAAUGCCGCGUGAGUGAUGAAGGCCUUAGGGUUGUAAAGCUCUUUUACCCGGGAUGAUAAUGACAGUACCGGGAGAAUAAGCUCCGGCUAACUACGUG
rnacentral:rRNA from 1 species